rnacentral:rRNA from 1 species
GGGGAUAACGUUUGGAAACGAACGCUAAUACCGCAUAAGACCACACUUCCACAUGGGAGAGGGGUCAAAGGAGCAAUCCGCUGAAAGAUGGGCUCGCGUCCGAUUAGAUAGUUGGGGGGGUAACGGCCCACCAAGUCGACGAUCGGUAGCCGGACUGAGAGGUUGAACGGCCACAUUGAGACUGAGACACGGCCCAGACUCCUACGGGAGGCAGCAGUGAGGGAUAUUGGUCAAUGGGGGAAACCCUGAACCAGCAACGCCGCGUGAGGGAAGACGGUUUUCGGAUUGUAAACCUCUGUCCUCUGUGAAGAUAAUGACGGUAGCAGAGGAGGAAGCUCCGGCUAACUACGUGCCAGCAGCCGCGGUAAUACGUAGGGAGCGAGCGUUGUCCGGAUUUACUGGGUGUAAAGGGUGCGUAGGCGGGUAAGCAAGUCAGAAGUGAAAUCCAUGGGCUUAACCCAUGAACUGCUUUUGAAACUGUUUAUCUUGAGUGAAGUAGAGGUAGGCGGAAUUCCCGGUGUAGCGGUGAAAUGCGUAGAGAUCGGGAGGAACACCAGUGGCGAAGGCGGCCUACUGGGCUUUAACUGACGCUGAAGCACGAAAGCGUGGGUAGCAAACAGGAUUAGAUACCCU